AUUCCUACGGGAGGCAGCAGUGGGGAGUUUUGGACAAUGGGGGCAACCCUGAUCCAGCCAUGCCGCGUGAGUGAAGAAGGCCUUCGGGUUGUAAAGCUCUUUCGGCCGGGAAGAAAUCGUAUGGGUUAAUACCCUGUGCGGAUGACGGUACCGGCAUAAGAAGCACCGGCUAACUACGUGCCAGCAGCCGCGGUAAUACGUAGGGUGCGAGCGUUAAUCGGAAUUACUGGGCGUAAAGCGUGCGCAGGCGGUUUUGUAAGACAGGCGUGAAAUCCCCGGGCUCAACCUGGGAACUGCGCUUGUGACUGCAAGGCUAGAGUAUGGCAGAGGGGGGUGGAAUUCCACGUGUAGCAGUGAAAUGCGUAGAGAUGUGGAGGAACACCAAUGGCGAAGGCAGCCCCCUGGGCCAAUACUGACGCUCAUGCACGAAAGCGUGGGUAGCAAACAGGAUUAGAUACCCUGGUAGUCCACGCCCUAAACGAUGUCAACUAGGUGUUGGGUGGGUAAAACCAUUUAGUACCGUAGCUAACGCGUGAAGUUGACCGCCUGGGGAGUACGGCCGCAAGGUUAAAACUUAAAGGAAUUGACGGAAU
rnacentral:rRNA from 1 species